UGUUCAAAAUUUAAAAUUGUC
rnacentral:piRNA from 1 species